UUCCGUAGUGACCUGCGGAAGGAUCAUUA
rnacentral:rRNA from 3 species